rnacentral:rRNA from 1 species
UACGUAGGGUGCAAGCGUUGUCCGGAAUUAUUGGGCGUAAAGAGCUCGUAGGCGGUCUGUCGCGUCUGCUGUGAAAUCUCAGGGCUUAACCCUGAGCUUGCAGUGGGUACGGGCAGACUAGAGUGCGGUAGGGGGAGACUGGAAUUCCUGGUGUAGCGGUGAAAUGCGCAGAUAUCAGGAGGAACACCGGUGGCGAAGGCGGGUCUCUGGGCCGAUACUGACGCUGGAGGGAGCGAAAAGCGUGGGGGAGCAAACAGG